UCUUAACACAUUAAUUUGUUAAAAAAAAAUGCACAAUUGAGUAAGCAUAAUUCAUACAUUCAUUGAUAGGCGUGCCGAGCUUGUCAGAGAUAACUAUACUACGGGGAAAGAGAGAGCUACUGUAGCUCAGGCUCAGACUGGUAAGUAGCCUACAAUCGAUGAGUUGCAGCUUUAUCUCGAGGCUGCAGGAGGCGAGAAGAAGAGAAAAGUCUACGACAUUAGUUCGCAGUCUGAUAUUUUUUAUAGUCGCACGCAUGGGGCUUCAGCGAGUAGAGCCACACCAGUUGAGCCGGAUGCAAUUACAGAGGAGAUUCAGAAUUUACGGGCUCAGCUUCAGGCACAGCAAUAGAUAUUACAGCUUAUAUUGCAGCAGCAAUAGCUGAUUGAAAUGUAUGCUUGAGAUCGAUCUAUUGCAUCACCAGCUCCCUCUACACCGACAAAUCACUCUGAUCCCUCGGCUUCUUUAAUUCUGCCUGCUUCUCAGAGUUCCAUUAUGGAUUUUACAGAUCAGACCCCACCUUAGACAUCUUUUUUGCUAUUAUGUUUAUUUUGUACAUAUUGCAGUAUAAUUUGUACAAUUUUAUUCACACAUUAAUAAUAAUUUUUUUUAAUUCA